AAAACCUUUAGAUUACAGAAAGUGUGAACUAACGUAUCAAACCGUGUCGCUUUGAGAACGUCGAUCUAGACAAAGUACAGCCUAUAGCCUGUGUAAAUGUAUUUGUGGUUAUGGUAUGGCUCUUAUCAUAAACUUUCCGGCUGUGACGGUGCCUUUGACUACUGGGGAAAGGGAACCGCGGUGACUGUAACAUCAGGUCAAACAUCUGCGCCGAAGUCAAUCUUCGCCCUGUCUCAGUGUUCUUCUGAUACUGAGUUCCUCACCAUCGGCUGCGUGACAAGAGGUUUCUCCCCUGCGGACUUGCUUACUUUCACAUGGAAGGAUCCCGCUAAUAAAGGGCUGACUGAUUUCGUGCAUUAUCCAGCGUUCGGGAGUGACCCAGACUAUACCAAAAUUAGCCAUCUGCGUGUGAAAAAAAGCGAAUGGAAACCUCAAACCUCUUACACAUGUGAAGCUUCAAAUUCGAUUGGCACUGUACGAGAUACGAUAACUAGACCAGUCCCACCACCAGAUCUGCCUGCAACUGUCUACUUAACAGUACCUACAAAAAAGGAAUUAGAAAAUGGGAAAGCAACCUUCUUGUGUUUAGCCCAAGAGUUUUCGCCUAAAACAUAUUCAUUUAAGUGGUUUAAGGAUGAAAAUCAGGUGACAAAUGCAAUAAACACCUAUGACGCAAGUAAGAAGAAUGGCUCAGAAACCUUUUAUAGCGCCACGAGCAUUUUGCAAAUCAGUGCUGAAGAAUGGAAGACAGGUGCCAAAAUCAAAUGCGAGUUCGAUCACAAGAUGGGAAAACAAGAGAGAGAGGCCGAAUAUACAGCUAAAUUAACACUGACACUGAAGCCACCAAUUGAAAGUGAAGUAUUUGUCAAUAAUACAGUUGUCUUGCAAGCUGUUGUUUCUGGAGAUGAAAAAAAAGUGAAAGAAGCUUCAGUGUUGUGCAAAGUGAAGAAUAAUGAAGUCACGCUGGGGCCUGGCAGUGUCAGCUUUUCUCAGGACAUUUCACAGUAUAUUAAAAUCCACAGAAUCAUAGUUGAUACAAAUAAAUGGUUUAAUGGUGAAACUGUCACCUGCACCAUCAGUGACAGAAACAUCAAGCAGGAAAUCCAUUGUAAUAAAGGAGAUGAAAAGACACCCAAUGUUACCAUUUACAGACCUGAUAGUAACAAAGACACAGAUCAUGUCUCUCUGGUGUGUGAGGUCACAAGCCCUAAACUUGGCGAUGUCUAUAUCAUGUGGAAAGUGGGCCUAAAUCCUUACAAAGAGGCCACAACCAGUGUUCCUAUUCAUCGAAAGAGCUCCACAUCGGUUCUCAGCAUCCUAACAGUGUCAAAACAAGAGUAUGAGGACCCCCGAACCACCAUCACCUGCGCAGUCAAACACGCCAAGAAGGGGAAUAUAAGCGCUCCAUUACAAGUUUCAACAAGCCAAAGUAAAUGUCCAGAACGUCCAGCUGAUUAUACAAACUAACUUUUAUCUGUUCAUUUGUACAUUUUCCAAUGCUUAUGCUCCCUGUUGCUCACUUGUCAGAUUAUGUAUCUUUGAUGUUUUUUUGUGCAUUGUUCUGCCUCCAUCACUUUACUGCAUGGGUCAAACUUCAAAGCCAAAUUUCACUCAAAACUAUGCUUAAUUUGUUAUUGCACGAAAAUAAAUAUGAACAAAAACUUAAUCACUGUAAUACCAUAAUGUGAUAAAAUCAAUAGUAUUCAAGAGCAAAAAAAAAAUGAAUCUGACCUGUGUGAGUGUGAUGCUUUUGUUAAAAUUGCACAUUUAUGUUUUGUCCUGUGCUUACUGUACUGCUGUUAGUCGUUUCAUGUCGUUCGAUAUAACAGUUUCAUGUUCUAUGUUUCAAAUCCAAAAUAAUUAAUUUUGGAUUGACAUUUAAUAAAUCUAUGUGUUUGCAAUUUUGCAUGAUUUAGUCCAGCUCUCAUUAU